GACGAACGCUGGCGGCGUGCUUAACACAUGCAAGUCGAACGGCAAGGCUCUUCUUUUGUGGGGUGCUCGAGUGGCGAACGUGUGAGUAACACGUGAGUAACCUGCCCUUGACUUUGGGAUAACUUCAGGAAACUGUGGCUAAUACCGGAUAGGUGCUCCUGCUGCAUGGUGGGGGUUGGAAAGUUUCUGCUGUUGGGGAUGGUCUCGCGGCUUAUCAGCUUGUUGGUGGGGUAGUGGCUUACCAAGGCUUUGACGAGUAGCCGGCCGGGGAGGGUGACCGGGCACAUGAGGACGGAGAUACGGCCCAGACUCGUACGGGAGGCAGCAGUGGGGAAUAUUGCACAAUGAGCGGAAGCCUGAUGCAGGAACGCCGCGUGCGGGAUGACGGCCUUCGGGGUGUAAACCGCUUUGGCAAGUGACGAAGCGUGAGUGACGGUAAUGGGUGAAGAAGCACCGGCUAACUACGUG
rnacentral:rRNA from 1 species